rnacentral:rRNA from 1 species
UACGUAGGGUGCGAGCGUUAAUCGGAAUUACUGGGCGUAAAGCGCGUGUAGGCGGUCUGAUAAGUCGGACGUGAAAUCCCGGGGCUCAACCCCGGAGAGCGCUCGAUACUGCCAGACUUGGGUUCUGAAGAGGAGAGCGGAAUUCCCGGUGUAGAGGUGAAAUUCGUAGAUAUCGGGAGGAACACCAGUGGCGAAGGCGGCUCUCUGGGCAGAUACCGACGCUGAGACGCGAAAGCGUGGGAAGCAAACAGGAUUAGAAA